GAGCCGGCGGGAGGCCCUGGCACGGCAGCGGGAGGAGGAGCGGCGGCUGCAGGAGGAACGGGAGGCCCAGGAGAGAGCCCGGGCUGAACGAGAGGAGCUGGAGCGGCUGCAGAGACAGAAGGAAGAGGCCGAGGCGAGGGCGCGCGAAGAGGCCGAGCGGCAGCGCCUGGAGCGGGAGAAGCACUUCCAGCGUGAGGAGCAGGAGCGGCUGGAGAGGAAGAAGCGCCUGGAGGAGAUCAUGAAGAGGACGCGCAAGUCGGACGCAGCAGACACCAAGAAAAAGGAUGACAAGAAGGUGGUGAACGGGAAAGCAGCCGAGCAGGAAGAUGUCCCAGGCCGUGAGAAGCACCUGGGGCCAAUCCCCAAGGCAGAGGAGCUCCCAGAGACAGAGACCCCAAGCGCAGGGACGCCAGGGGGAACGAAGGGCUUGGUGGGUGAGGGGCUGCAGCCAAGCUCCAAGGAGGCAGCAGCCCUGGUGAACGGCGUGCAGCCCGGCAAGCACGAGAACGGCUUCUCGGGCACCGAGGGCUCCAAGGAGCUGCGGGAUCUCUCCCACCAUGGUGGCAGCCCCGGCAGCAUCAUCCCCUUUGGCGACAAGGAGCCCUUCCUCAAGCAGGCCGUGGUGAAGCCCCCGCAGGUGACAGAGGUGCUGUGAGGGCCUGGCCGAUGUUCCCAGGGCCCACUGCCCGUGCCCUGACCCCGGCAGCCCACGCAGACCUGUAGCUGUCGUCAGAACACGACCCUCGCUGCUCCUCCCGGGUGCUCGGGGGGCUGCGGGACCCCGGCAGAGGACGCCUGGCUCCUCUCUUUGUUCUUCGUUUUUAUUUCGUUUUGUUGGAUUUUUUUUUUAUUUUAUUUUAAAUAUGCACCUUAUCAGACUGACAGCCCACCCUCGCAGCCCGCCGGAGCCGCCCCAGACGUGUGUUGUAAUGAUGUAGUUAUUUAACUCGCUGGGUACAACGUCUGUGAAUACUGUAAAUAGAGCCGGCCGGGCGUGGGGAUGCUCUGGGGGGCUCGGGGGGGCUGUGUCACAGCUCCCUGUCCCCACGUUCCCCCGCAUGUCCGUGUGUCCAGUGUCCCCGGGCCCGGCCGGCAUCACGCUGCUCUGUGCCCUUGUGACAGUGUUAUGCAUCCAGACAACCUUUGACAACAAUUAAAAGUGGA
rnacentral:lncRNA from 1 species